UUGAAAACAAACUUUUCAUUUUUUAAAAUUAUUCUUUACAUAAUGUACUUUGAAUGUUUUUUUUUUGUCAGGGAAAACAGUGGGGACUCGGAACAGAUUAGGCUAUUUACAUGUAAAAUGUGUUUCUACUUGCGAAAAAUUCACAUUACAAAACGACUUCCGGAAUGAAUGAAUUUUGUAAGUAGAGGUACUACUGUUUUUCUGAAAAGUUUGAAGCCAUAAUGCGGUUCACAAAUGAGCUAACAGUAAGCCUGGCUUCUUGUUUUUCUUGAGUCGGAAUGCUCUGUGGAACAUUCUUGUACAACACGUUUGGUCAUACGCAGUGUCCUGUGUUGUUUAUUUAGUGUACACCACAGACACUUUGAAAGCUCACACUUGUUGAAUUCUUCCUUGUUUUAUGUAUCAAAACCCAGUUCAGAUGUUUACAAAUCCCUGUCUGCACGCCAUAGUCUUUCAUUAACCUUCAGUAACACUGAGACUAAUGUCACAAUUUAGACUAUUUAUUUGUUGGAAAAACAUUUCUAAGCUAUGAACACGAAGCAAAUAGGGGCAAAAAAGAAAGUAAGGGGCAAUUACAGAGUUCCUCAUUGGGGCGCCCGCCGUUCAUAAUCCCGUCAGUCUGUCGUAAAACGGAGGAAUUGAGUGGCGCAGAUUUUUCAUGCAGACGACGUGGCAGGGAGGUGCUGUGGAGCAGCUUUACAGCUUAAACCACAACAACACAGAAACAGCUCAUCACGGAAGAGCCUAAUACCUAGCUUGAGUACUUUAUUUGCCGAUGACUUUGGGAGUCAUUUUAAAAUAAUUAUUGUGACACCAGAUAAUAUGGAAUGGCUGUGGAAUGUAUCGGUCGAGUUCGGUCGAUUAACUACAGGACACGAUUGUUAAGGCACAUGAACGAAUACUACGACUCUAAACGCCUUUGUUAAUCGUGUUAAGUGUCUUUAAGAAACACGUGAACGCUUGUUAGGGGCAGAUUUGAAAACGUCAAUGCCCCGCGAAAGGACGUGACGUCUUGUCCAGCAAAUAGACGGCGCCCAGACACAGCUACGCGUGCGACGGAAACAACGAACACACACCGCAUGCAGUCGCAGGUGAAGUAUAUAAUGCCUUACGGUACUGCGGUUUCCUCCCACAUCCCGAAAACAUGCAAGAACCCAAGUGUGGUGCAAGGAAUAUAUGACUGAAGAUUGUCCUUUAGCAUUUUCUACUUAAGCGCAGGAGUCAUGGUUCCACCAAUCCCAGCAAGUCAUCCAGGUCCUGAAGUGGUUAAGCAGCCCCAGAGCACCACCACCAUCCAACCUGCAGCUGAACCUCCUGAUAUCCACUCAUCCAUCAUAUAUCAUCAAAGGCACUCAUCCAUCAUACUUCAUCAAAGGACCACUGCGGUAGACACGCCGGCUUCACGGUGAAUAAUCUCUUGUCAACAUGCCUUCCAAGUAACAAACAGCCUUGAAAUUCCGGCACUUUGCAUGGUGGAGCCUUGACUAGACGAGCAACACCAGAAAGGGAGGGACUACAGUGUGAAAAAAAACAAGCUUUUUGCAGGUGUCCUACAGCUCGAUGACUUCAGGUGGGGCACCUAACUCCCAGGGGUGGGGGGUUGAUGUUCUUUAGGUGCUUUCCGUGAAACAGAUGGUGAAGCGCAGACAAUGAGUGGAUGAGAUAGACAAGCCAGGUAGAGAUGGAGGAGGAGGAGCUGUGAGAGGUUAGCCUUCCCCCUCUCACCUCUGAAAACCAACUGGCAGGGCGGUGGGGGUAGGGCUGAAUUGGAUACAUUUCCUUUUUCUUUUUUUAUUUUCACUGGUAGUGUUUGUGAAGACACUGAUCAAGUUCAUAAAUUCUCCCAAAAAUGAUAAUGAUUUAUCAAGGUGGCGGCACGGUGGUGCAGCUGGAAAGCAUUGGCCUUACACUUCUGAGGACCAGGGUUCAAUCCCGGCCCCCCAUGUGUGCAGUUUGCAUGUUCUCCCCGUACCUGCGUGGGUUUCCUCCGGGCACUCUGGUUUCCUCCCACAUCCCAAAAAGAUGUAACAUUAAUUGGACACUCCAAAUUGCCCCCAGGUGUGAUUUGGAUUGCGGCUGUUUGUCCCUAUGUGACCUGCGAUUGGCUGGCAACCGAUUUGGGGUGUACCGUGCCUCCUGCCCGUUGACAGCUGCGAUAGCCUCGAGCACUCCCGUGACCUUUGUGAGGAUAAAAA